UAAGAGACAAUAAACACAUGACAAGGAAAUAAGCAGGCAGAAAAGCCUAUGAUACAAAUCACGCUUGUAUCUGUGUUGUUACAGUUACAUUGUAUUUCCUUCUAACACAGACAGCUGUAGCAGGUGCUGUUUGUAAAGAACACUGUAAAAACAUGGGGAAAAAAAAUAUAUAUGAGUAGGGUAAUACACUUGCUGGGAUGCAUUUGUAAUUAAUAGCAGAAGAAUUUCCCCUGUGUUGCUAUCACACAUUUUGCAUGUAAGGAUUCCAUCAAGACACAAACUUUCAGCCCCAGCUCAGUGCUAAGAAGUUUUUGCAUUGCAGUCUUUGCUUCAGAGUUGUGCUGAUGCAUACAGCACUUUGCCUGAAGCAAAGACAGCUCAGGCAAGUGGAAGUGGAGCACUAAGCCAGAUGGGGCUGCACAGCAGAGUCUGUAUGGACAGAACAGGACCUGAGGCACACCUGAUGCAUGGAGGAAUCCCUGUAUCUGUGCAGAUCAAGUGAAGUUGUGCUGAACUUAUGAAGCCGGCUCCCAUAUACUUUCUGCUUGUCUGUUUUGUAAGUCUUGAGAAUAAUUCAGCUGCAGAAGUAUAUAUGCUUGCAGGGCAAAGACAGAAAGAAAGCAACAGAUGACGUAUGUGCGUGUUCACCAUUAGCAUAACUGGUUUCUUUAUGCUCCAGUGUGGGAGUAGCUUUCAAAAGGCAAGGUGAAUUCAUUGCUUUCACAACCAGAUCUGCUAUGCCAUUACAAAGGCUUGGGAAUGCACACAGGGAAAACUAGCUGCUUGAGGCUUGUUUAUUUAGUUUAAGGGCAGGUCCCUCCUUCUUCUUAUAGACAGCACAAUCGGAUGAUAUCAGUUCUUUAAUCACUAUUUUUUACUGCAGUAUAGAUGGGUGCAGCAAUAUAGAUAUAUAAAACAACAACAGAAUUUCUGCCUCAAGGAGCUUCUGAUACUGGGAUCAUCUAAAACUUCUGCCAAAGUCUGUGGGAACUUCAAGGGGAAUUAGAUCAGGACUAAUGAUAAAAGUUGAGUAGUUAAAGAAUGAGAACUGUGAGAAGAAUCAACACUGACAAGAAACUGCUGGAAGUAGUGCUCAACACCAGAUUACCAAGAGAUACUCCAGUUGGAACCAGUUGAAAGAACUGUGACCUCAGUCAUAUAGAACCAGAGCUAGGUGCAGCAUCACAGAUGCCAGCCUGUGUCCCCAGCACUGGGGUGACUCUUUUCUCAUCUUGCACACCAAAGGCCAGCAGAAUAUUACAAAUGUAUCUCUCCAGAGAUCACUCACAUAAGUAAACUGACCUUUGGGCUUAUUGCCAUAGCAGAAGAUAUAACCAUUGCCACUGGGACAGGCUUUCCUCAUCUGCUCUCCUCUGCACCAUGCAGAAGGGCUCCUACAACUCUCCCACCAGAACAUUGCGUUGAGACUGAUACUGCAGGAGGCUCCCAGACUGAAUUUUUCUGCUUGCACAGCUAUUCUUUGUCCCCAGGAGAAAGUACAGCAGCAAAGACAAAAGCAUCCUGUGAAGCACAUGUUGAGCUAUGGUUAAUGACGCCAACAUGCUCAUGCCAGAAAUUCUAACAAUCUACCAUUACAUAGAAAGACUGCCUCCCCAACAAAAUCUCUUUACGGCAUUCAGAGCAUUCCCUACAUGUCAGUAUUUUCAGAUCACAGCUAUGUGACACCCACCAUGGUAAGAUCAAGUUGCAGCAGCAGGUCUGCACCACUCAGCCAUCCUCCAAAGAGAAGGCUCUGAUGAAAUGACAACAAGGUGUCCCUGCCAAACUGAAGCACGGCCUGCUAUGACAAUUCUAGCAUGCAUGGAGAACCAGCAGAAAGUAGAAAACAAAACAUAUUUAACAGUACAUGGUAAUAUUACAUUUAGAGAAAAGGAUUGUGGGUUUAAUGGAAAAAGAAAGCAUUAUCAAAUGAAGGACGAGUUAUCCUGAAAAAAAAAAAAAAAAAAAAAAA